rnacentral:lncRNA from 1 species
UUCUUGUGUGUUCUACUUCUUCCUCCCCUUUCCUUUUCGUCGUUUCUUCGUUCUCUUUAUUUUUUAUCAGGCAUUGAGGCUAAUUCAAAUUUUUGGUUACAGCAACAGCAACAACAACAACAGCAGCAGCAGGUGCAACAACCAUUGUUUAACUCGGCCUUGCUCCAACGGCCCUCGUACCAGACAGCAGCGGCGUCCCAACUACGGCCGUACGUGCAACAGCCUUUACAACAGCCGUUGCAACAGCCGCUGCAACAGCCUCUGCAACAAUUUUCUCAAUAUCAGCAGCCGUUGCAGAACCCCAACCUUUUAUAUCAGAACCCUGCACCUCUGACCAACGACUUGUUCCAGGCGCAGCAGCAAUCACUCUUCGCACCUCAGCAACCUUUGCAGCAGUACAACAACCCAUUCCUUUACCAGAGUCCUUUCUACAACCCAUACUUUUCCGCCAGAGCAUCGCGCGAUUUGGAUGUUAAAGGACAACUCGAAACGCUGACGGCUAAAUUGACCGGAAAAGUAAAGAAUGUUACUUGUGUUAUGCAAGAAUUAGGAUACUUAGAUUCAAAUUUGGAGCCGGAUUAUGUAAAAAUGGUAGAGAGGAUAAACCGACUGCCAAUAUCGGAAGAGCUGAAAAGGGACAUGGCUGAAGGCGUCGAAUACUGCCGGCAGUUUUCGCAAUGCGUGCCAGACUCGAGGAAAGACAAGCUAGCGAAAGAAAUGCUCCGACCUAUGUUCUUCUUCCGAUGUUAUAAGCAUAAAAAACUUGAGGCGUGUAUCAUGAAAGAUAUAAGAGAAAGGUAUUCCAACGGGAACGAAGAUUUCCUGGACGAGAACGUGCUGGGAGGCGGGUGGCGACAUGCGCUCUAUGAAAAGCAGAAACCAGACUUUGGACGACGAACACAUGGAAGUAGCCAUUUAUGA